GACGAACGCUGGCGGCGUGCCUAAUACAUGCAAGUCGAACGCAUUUUCUUUCACCGUAGCUUGCUACACCGAAAGAAAAUGAGUGGCGAACGGGUGAGUAACACGUGGGUAACCUGCCCAUCAGCGGGGGAUAACACUUGGAAACAGGUGCUAAUACCGCAUAAUUCCAUUUACUGCAUGGUAGAUGGAUGAAAGGCGCUUUUGCGUCACUGAUGGAUGGACCCGCGGUGCAUUAGCUAGUUGGUGGGGUAACGGCCUACCAAGGCUGCGAUGCAUAGCCGACCUGAGAGGGUGAUCGGCCACACUGGGACUGAGACACGGCCCAGACUCCUACGGGAGGCAGCAGUAGGGAAUCUUCGGCAAUGGACGCAAGUCUGACCGAGCAACGCCGCGUGAGUGAAGAAGGUUUUCGGAUCGUAAAACUCUGUUGUUAGAAAAGAACAAGGAUGAGAGUGGAAAGUUCAUCACUUGACGGUAUCUAACCAGAAAGCCACGGCUAACUACGUG
rnacentral:rRNA from 1 species